CUUGGAGUAGCUCAGGGGUAGAGCAGCCGGCUUGGGACCGGCAGGGCGCAGGUUCGAAUCCUGCCUCCAAGU
rnacentral:tRNA from 1 species